UACGUAGGGUGCGGGCGUUAAUCGGAAUUACUGGGCGUAAAGCGUGCGCAGGCGGUUGUGCAAGACAGAUGUGAAAUCCCCGGGCUCAACCUGGGAAUUGCAUUUGUGACUGCACGGCUAGAGUGUGUCAGAGGGGGGUAGAAUUCCACGUGUAGCAGUGAAAUGCGUAGAGAUGUGGAGGAAUACCGAUGGCGAAGGCAGCCUCCUGGGCCAACACUGACGCUCAUGCACGAAAGCGUGGGGAGCAAACAGG
rnacentral:rRNA from 1 species